GAUGAAGAACGUAGCGAAAUGCGAUAAGUAAUGUGAAUUGCAGAAUUCAGUGAAUCAUCGAAUCUUUGAACGCACAUUGCGCCCCUUGGUAUUCCGAGGGGCAUGCCUGUUCGAGCGUCAUUAUAACCCCUCAAGCUCAGCUUGGUGUUGGGGCCUGCCGCACGGGCAGCCCUUAAAAUCAGUGGCGGUGCCAUCUGGCUCUAAGCGUAGUAAUUCUUCUCGCUAUAGAGUCCCGGUGGAUGCUUGCCAUUAACCCCCAAUUUUCUAUGGUCGACCUCGGAUCAGGUAGGGAUACCCGCUGAACUUAAGCAUAUCAAUAAGCGGAGGA
rnacentral:misc_RNA from 1 species